rnacentral:rRNA from 1 species
UACGGGGGGAGCAAGCGUUGUUCGGAUUUACUGGGCGUAAAGCGUGCGCAGGCGGUUGUGCAAGACAGAUGUGAAAUCCCCGGGCUUAACCUGGGAACUGCAUUUGUGACUGCACGGCUAGAGUGCGGCAGAGGGGGAUGGAAUUCCGCGUGUAGCAGUGAAAUGCGUAGAUAUGCGGAGGAACACCGAUGGCGAAGGCAAUCCCCUGGGCCUGCACUGACGCUCAUGCACGAAAGCGUGGGGAGCAAACAGG